rnacentral:rRNA from 1 species
UACGAAGGGGGCUAGCGUUGCUCGGAAUUACUGGGCGUAAAGCGCACGUAGGCGGGUUGUUAAGUCGGGGGUGAAAUCCUGGAGCUCAACUCCAGAACUGCCUUCGAAACUGACGAUCUUGAGUUCGGGAGAGGUGAGUGGAACUGCGAGUGUAGAGGUGAAAUUCGUAGGUAUUCGCAAGAACACCAGUGGCGAAGGCGGCUCACUGGCCCGAUACUGACGCUGAGGUGCGAAAGCGUGGGGAGCAAACAGG